rnacentral:rRNA from 1 species
GAUGAACGCUGGCGGCGUGCCUAAUACAUGCAAGUCGAGCGAACGGACGAGAAGCUUGCUUCUCUGAUGUUAGCGGCGGACGGGUGAGUAACACGUGGAUAACCUACCUAUAAGACUGGGAUAACUUCGGGAAACCGGAGCUAAUACCGGAUGAUAUUUUGAACCGCAUGGUUCAAAAGUGAAAGACGGUCUUGCUGUCACUUAUAGAUGGAUCCGCGCUGCAUUAGCUAGUUGGUAAGGUAACGGCUUACCAAGGCAACGAUGCAUAGCCGACCUGAGAGGGUGAUCGGCCACACUGGAACUGAGACACGGUCCAGUCUCCUACGGGAGGCAGCAGUAGGGAAUCUUCCGCAAUGGGCGAAAGCCUGACGGAGCAACGCCGCGUGAGUGAUGAAGGUCUUCGGAUCGUAAAACUCUGUUAUUAGGGAAGAACAUAUGUGUAAGUAACUGUGCACAUCUUGACGGUACCUAAUCAGAAAGCCACGGCUAACUACGUG